GCGUGCGAAUGUGUGAGCAUGUGUGAGUUCCUGCGUGUGUGACUUCAGGCGUGUGUGUGUGUGUGUUUGUGUGUGUGUUGGAAUGGGGGUGGGGGGCGGUCCUGGAAAGGCCGAGAGCCUUGGAAUCUGAGGAGUCUGCAGCCCAUUCUUGAUACUGCUUUACUUUCCAAAAAGUUAUGACAACAAAACCACCCUGGGGCCCAGACCUGGAAGCCGUCAGCUAUGGAGGACCCUGGAAGCAGGCAGAGAAAGGUUUGGAGUUUUCAGUGCGAUGACACCAGCGUGCCUGCGGAAGUGGCUGUGUCUCCUCUUGCCUCCUUCCCCACCCAAUUCCGCCCCAGGAGCCCAGGGAUGGAGGCCCAGGAGACGGAUCCCACAAGAGCCAGCACCCACUCCACCCCAGGUAGCUGGCAGUAUCUGUCUCUUCAAUCUGACUGAUCACCCAACUUGGGGUGGGGAGCUUUGAAAAAUGUAGACUCCCAGGCCCCACCCCAGAUCCUCUGGCUGGGAUUUGCUGGGUGGUAGAAACCCAAGGAAGUUUGUGUUUUCUAGAACCCCAUAAGAUUCGGAUGCAGCCAGUGGGGGACAGGAACUUCAGCAGGGGAAGCCGCAGCCCUGGGUGUAGACCCCAUCCACUCGUGCCUGAUGCAGCCCUCCUCUCAAGGAAGGGCGAGCUCACUGAAGGGGACAGGUCACAGGUCAGCCCAAUUCACCCUGAGCACAGAAAUGCACACUGCAUUUAGGACGGCCGGAUUGCUGGACCAAACCUGUCUCUCUGUCCCCUGCACACAUAUGCACAUGCGCAUGCACAGAGACGCAUGCUGAACUUCUACGGAAGAGGAGAGCGGUAGGACCAGGCUCUCCAGGGUCCUGCCUUGGGGUCUCUCCCCACAACUGUGGCAUAAACCUCUCUCCAGAAACAGAGGGCCUGAUAACCCGUCAGCUCCCCAGAAUCCGAAUCCUAAAAGGCUCUCCCCAGGGUUCGUCCGGCUUCAGCAGAGACCCUUCCCACCCAGGCCGGAGCUUCUCCCUCUCCCUACACGCUUUUCCACUGUGAGACUGGAACAUCAUCGGGACAGCCCAGAAUGUCCUCUUCCCCUGCAGGAGCUCAGCAAACAUCCACAGAGUGAACAUUCCAAGCAACAUAGUCCAGGAGCCACGUUCCAGCCAUGGGGCCUCUGCACUGCUGUUCUCUUCACAUGGCCUGCCCUUCCCCCAGAAAGAGAGAAGAGGCCCUCUCUGGUUGUCCCAUCAAAACUCCACCCUUCUCUCACCCUCCUCCCAGCUGUAUCCCUUCUCUGCAGCCCUAACAUGCAUUCCACUUUAUUUCCCUUGUCUACUGUCUGCCUCUCUAACUACUAAGUCAGUUCCAGCCGCUCCAGGAUUUUUGUCUUUUCAGUUUAGCCCUGGUUCCUCAGGGCCUUAGUGACUAGUGUGUAGUGCCUAGCAGCCAGUAGAUGCUCAAUAACUGCUUGCUGAUUGACUGGGGUGAGCUCCCCAUCCAUGGAGCUAUUUCAAGCCAAGCCUAGACGAUCUUUCAGGGCUAGUUCUAACCUAAGACUUGGUAGUUCCAUGACUCUCUUCCUGGCCCAGACCGAAAAGGAACUUUCAGCAGGAACCCGGGACUGGGAUCUGAGAUGGGGCUCCUUGGAGGACUCUGACUAGGAAGAGAGACGGGAGGCCGCACCAAAAACACAAGCCCUUCAUGGGUCUCCCAGGCGUAGGUCUGGGGAAUCCCCCAGGCCCCUCAGGAUCGACCCUGCUGGCCCUGGAUCUCCAGGACGCGUCCCUCUGACCUGCCUGCCCGGCCUGUGAGUCCCCGGCAGCAACCGCUGCAGACACAGGCUGCCCAGCGCCAGGGCCAGGCCGGAUUAUCAUACAUUAAGACAUAAUUACUCUGCGGAAAUUUACAAUACAAAGCGCCCUCCCCAAGUUGGCUUCAGAAGGAUUCCAAGGAUACAAAGACCUGCUGUGUCUGCCACCGACCCAAGCUGGCCCCAGCCAGAAUUUCAAAAGAAGUGGGUGGGUUAGUUUUUGGAAAAACCCCAUUCUACCCUCCAGGCAGAAGCCCCGCCCCAAGGGUAGAGCCCUCUGAUACCCCAAGCCCCACCCAGAGGGGAGGGUCCCCUCCACCCCGACCAGCGUUGCUCCUAAACCACUCGGGUUCCCCCAAGCCCAGAAGCUCCAAGCUGACACCACCAAGGUCACCCCACUUCUCCCAAGUUCUCUCUUUUUAGACUAUUUAGGCCUAAGGGCAGAAAGAACCUUAAAUCCCAAGAUGCUAGCUUUUGACCUGCAGAGAGGUGUGGCAGCCCACUGACAUUGAUUAAGCGCCUGCUGUGUGCCUGGUACUGUGCCAGCAUCAGGAUGCCACAGAGAACAAGACAAACCAGAUCGCUGUGCUGGGGGGAGCUUACAGUCCAGUUGAGGAGACGCAGUAAGAUGCUAAAAAAAAAAAAAAUGCACAUCAGGUGUGCAGGAUGGGUGAGUGACCGGGGUGCACGGUGGCCAGAGAGCCUCAAAGGUGGCAUCUGAGCAGAGGCCUGAAUGAGCAAGAGAGACUAGCCUGUGCAAAGGCCCUGAGGUGGGGCCAUGUGUGGUGAGGGGUAGUGGAGGCAGAGAAUGCUGGCUUUUACUCUCAAGAGGGUUUCCAGCAGGGAAGCUGCCUGAUUCGGGGGACACUUGGCCUGCUGUUCUGUUAGAUUCCUGCAUCUACCACCUCCUGGCCCUGGGAUGCUGGGCAAGUCAGUUAGCCCUUUAAGCUUUUGUUCCUCCCUGCAAAAUAAAAACAGUAACCACAGCUAACACACGCUUGUUGCACAGAACAAGACAGAGAAAGUCGGGAAAGGGAGGGCCAUGCAUGUGAGGGGCGGGGGAGAAGCUCUCUGAGCCUUAGCUGCCCCA
rnacentral:lncRNA from 1 species